AAAUACUUCUUCCUCUACUCGGGGCAGCUGCAAUCAGUUCUCCCAGAGAAAUCAUUAAACCUGAAGGAUCCUAAGCACGGAGCCCGGAAGACAAGACGUAGCAGCUCGCCAUCCAGCCUCCCAGCUUCCCCACCGAUCCAGCACAGGCACCUUUUAGGGUGUCAUUUCAAAAGUCAAAGAAAACCUGUCUGGGGUGGCUAGAAAAGAGAGUGCAGCUUGAGUGACUGGAACACUCCCUCCAUUUCAGUCUGGAGUUGGAGGUCAUAUUCAAACACCACAACAGCUUGGCCCCUCACAGAACAUUAACAGGUAAGCACUUUAGGUGUUUGCUUUCCUCAACCCUACAGAAGAUUUAUUUACAAGGCAGCUUUUAGACCAGCUGGCAAAUAAGAGAGACUCCUCAGACUUCAUAUUUCUGGUCUCGUUAAGUGUUUGGGAACAAUCUUCUCAGCUUCGAUGUAUUAGCAACUCAAAUGUGGGUUUUUAAGUAGCAG
rnacentral:lncRNA from 1 species